UGUCUUUUCUACAUCACUGGGAAGUGAAGUUUUGACUUUUUUAAGGAAAAAGGAUCAGAACAUACCUUUAUUUUACCAAAUGAAUCAACCGCAUUUUAUAUCUUUCAAGAGUUCCAAUGAAAGAGGAGUUUUAAAUUCAAGGACAACGUGUAUCUUAAUAGCAAACUUGUCAAAUUCUGACCUUAAAAUGCACGAAUUUCAUAUAAAACUUUAUAGUUUUAAAGUGCACUCACACACAUGACUGCAUUUUCUAUACAUAACAAUCCUAUGACUAGUUAGUUAUCCUAAACCUUCUAUUUCCUGAAUCCCUCUUCUCCCCCUCUCUACUACCAUCAUCUCCAUUCAUGACUCAGGCAUUUUUACAAGGUUAAUAUCUUUCUAUCACCACAUAUCAUCUCUGCCUCUUCAGUCAACUUUCCCCAUGACAGCCUGAGAGAUGUAGUUGGUGCUGCCACUUUUCCUUCAUUAUUCCCUGCCUUGAAUAUGGUGGUGAUGCCUGGAGCUUCAGCAGCUAUCUUAUAACCAUGAAAUGGCAAGCAUGAGAAUGAAAGAAAAUGCACUCAUCAUGAAAGGAGGAAGAACAGAAGAAAUCUGGGUCACUGGUGAUAUCAAUGGAUAGCUGAAGCAGUGCAGCAUGAGACACUGAAGGAGGCUGGGGUGCUUCUGCUCCUGACUGCCUACUCCACUGCGAUUCCGAGUUGUUGGUUCAUCCUGUUUUCACCUAAGGCAAGUUACGUAAAGUCCCAAUCCCUCAGGGACUAAAUAAAUAUGCCUGAAGGUACUCAGGAGGCUGAGGCAGGAGAAUCGCUUGAACCGGGGA